AAUUACAAUUGCACCAGCCCUGAAUAUAGUUGUGCAUGAGCCGAUACGACAACACUAAUUCUCCAAACUACUACGCUCUCACAAAUGAGAUAGUCCAAUAUAGCACACUAGAGCCAACCGCAUCUACCUUUUGUUAGCUGCUGUCCUCCGAGGUGGUCACGAUAAAGUGAAACUCCAGCAAAGUGCACGUGAGCGAAAUAAGUUUCUAAUAAUCCCAUCAUUCCCACUGACGACGGAGUACCAUCGACGGGAAAAGCAUUAGAGGUCUAGUGUUCCACACGAUCGGUGUGCGACACACCCAACGCCAUUGCUGGACGUGCAUCUUCCAUCUAACAUUCGAAGGGCUACAAAGGAGGCAGCAGCAACACUGGUAAAACGCGGAAAGUGAUCGCCAAUCGAAGGUGAUCUAGUCAUCUCGAACGACAAGAAGGGCUCUCAAAAGAGGGCCCUAUUGUUGAGAUUGCUGACUUCUACAACAGUCUGUCGCACGUGACCAACUCGGCUGGCACACGAUUGUACAUCGCAUGGUCAUUGGAUGCGGCCAUUCAUCGCAUCGGAGACAAAUCUCGGCUCGUAGUGAGUGCGACCGAGCACACGGAUCCUGCAUACCGGCACCGGUGGAGACAGGUGUGAGGAGAUUGCAUGCUGCAUUUGUGUCGUGGUGUGAACGGUCCGAGGAGUGAUAACCCUAUCGAGGUGUAGUUCUGCGUGGUGAAGACGGAUCAUCGUUUGCUUAAGCAUGUGUGAGAGAAUGCAGUCGCAGCAUUAAAGCAACGUCCGAGCAGACGGACCACCAAAUCAAGAACGGAAACCGGCGAGGGGCGCGGGGCGUCGCCAGCUAGUGAGAGGAGAUUCUAGAGAAAACAAUAUCAGGUAUGGUAGUUCUAAGGCCUAUGUGAGAAGAGCAAUAUAGCAAUAUGAAAUGCAA